GUGGGGAAUCUUAGACAAUGGGGGAAACCCUGAUCUAGCCAUGCCGCGUGAUCGAUGAAGGCCUUAGGGUUGUAAAGAUCUUUCAGGUGGGAAGAUAAUGACUGUACCACCAGAAGAAGCCCCGGCUAACUCCGUGCCAGCAGCCGCGGUAAUACGGAGGGGGCUAGCGUUGUUCGGAAUUACUGGGCGUAAAGCGCACGUAGGCGGAUUGGAAAGUUGGAGGUGAAAUCCCAGGGCUCAACCUUGGAACUGCCUUCAAAACUCCUGGUCUGGAGUUCGAGAGGGGUGAGUGGAAUUCCGAGUGUAGAGGUGAAAUUCGUAGAUAUUCGGAGGAACACCAGUGGCGAAGGCGGCUCACUGGCUCGAUACUGACGCUGAGGUGCGAAAGCGUGGGGAGCAAACAGGAUUAGAAACCCUUGUAGUCC
rnacentral:rRNA from 1 species